GGGGAGUUAGCUCAGUCAGUUGAGUAUGGCGCUAACAACGCCAAGGUCGUGGGUUCGAUUCCCGCUCGGUCCC
rnacentral:tRNA from 1 species